rnacentral:rRNA from 1 species
UACAGAGGGUGCGAGCGUUAAUCGGAAUUACUGGGCGUAAAGCGCGCGUAGGCGGCUUUGCAAGCCGGAUGUGAAAUCCCCGGGCUUAACCUGGGAACUGCAUUCGGGACUGCAUUGCUCGAGUAUGGGAGAGGGAAGUGGAAUUUCAGGUGUAGCGGUGAAAUGCGUAGAUAUCUGAAGGAACAUCAGUGGCGAAGGCGGCCCACUGGCUCGAUACUGACGCUGAGGUGCGAAAGCGUGGGGAGCAAACAGG